rnacentral:rRNA from 1 species
CCUACGGGAGGCAGCAGUGGGGAAUUUUGGACAAUGGGCGCAAGCCUGAUCCAGCCAUGCCGCGUGCGGGAAGAAGGCCUUCGGGUUGUAAACCGCUUUUGUCAGGGAAGAAAUCCUUUGGGUUAAUACCUCGGAGGGAUGACGGUACCUGAAGAAUAAGCACCGGCUAACUACGUGCCAGCAGCCGCGGUAAUACGUAGGGUGCGAGCGUUAAUCGGAAUUACUGGGCGUAAAGCGUGCGCAGGCGGUUAUGCAAGACAGAUGUGAAAUCCCCGGGCUCAACCUGGGAACUGCAUUUGUGACUGCAUAGCUAGAGUACGGUAGAGGGGGAUGGAAUUCCGCGUGUAGCAGUGAAAUGCGUAGAUAUGCGGAGGAACACCGAUGGCGAAGGCAAUCCCCUGGACCUGUACUGACGCUCAUGCACGAAAGCGUGGGGAGCAAACAGGAUUAGAUACCCUGGUAGUCCACGCCCUAAACGAUGUCAACUGGUUGUUGGACGGCUUGCUGUUCAGUAACGAAGCUAACGCGUGAAGUUGACCGCCUGGGGAGUAACGGCCGCAAGGUUGAAACUUCAAAGGAAUUGAGG